rnacentral:rRNA from 1 species
GGUAGAUACCCUAGUAUGUUUAUUGAUUACGCUAGUAUCUAUGGUUGAAAAUGAAAAUUUCUGGCGGUUAAUUAUUAAUUAGAGGAGCUUGUUAAUUUUAAUAAGAAUUAACUCUUUAUAUCUUACAUCUAAAAGGUUUAUUCAUCUCUGUUAUUAAGCUAUGUGCUUGAAAAAUUAUUUAUUUUAUAUUUCAGGUCUAGAUGUAGCAUUUAUUUUUAUUAAUUAGCUACAGUUAUGAAAAAAUGGAGUUUUAGUUGAUAAUUAAGAGGAAAAUGAAUUUGAUUGUAAUUUUAACUAGAAAGUUAAAAUGAAUUUUUGUAGUUGAUGUAUAGAUUGCCCGUCAAUUCUAAUUUAAGAGUAAGUCGUAACAUAU